rnacentral:lncRNA from 1 species
GCACCAGUGGUGUUCUGGGUUUUUGGGAACAUUUGGUUCUCUGCGCAGGGAGGGACCACAGGCGUGAUAUAAAAUGAUAUUGUGACCCCACGUAUGGAAGACAAAAGAGCAACCACAGGUGCUAUUGGAGGGCUGAAAGAAUCUACUGGCAAGGCACCUCUGGUACCAACAUAGAACGAGGGUGGGACAAGCCUCCCAUUGAGGUACUGCCAACCUCAGGAACCUCACACCAUGAUCACAAAGAACAUGAGAGUACAACCUCUGUCAAAGUUGUGACUAGCCACUCUGUGGACAAGAAAACAAGUCACCCCAAUAGAGAUAACGCAGGUGAUGAAACGCAGACCACAGAUAAGAAAGAUGGCUUGCUAGUAUUCUCCCUGGUUGGAAUCACAGUUGGCGUACUGUUAGCCAUUGGCUUCGUCAGAGGGAUCAUUAUUGUGGUUAUGAGGAAGAUUUCUGGAAGGUUCUCACCCUAA